UUCAUGGAUGGAAGAUUAUGAUUGUUGUUUAUUGAGAGUUGUAUUUUGACAAAAAAAAAAUUAUAAUUACAGAAAUUGUAUGAAGCCAGAUUGGUUGGAGUGGAAGUCUGUUAUUUUUGAUAUUAGAUGGAAUUUAUAUGUUUUGAGUGGUCUUUUGAGAAAGCAAAUUUACACUUUGUUGUUAUCAAUUGAUAAAGGAAUAUUGUUAUUGGGAGAGAGUAUUAUAGUAUUUUUUGGUAUUUUUAGUGGUUCACAAAUAUGAUUAAUUGUGUGACCCUAACAUGUAAGCUCAUGCGGUUAGUCUUUCCCUGUAUUUGAAUCUCCCUCUAUAGAUUUAUUUUAAAAGGAAUUUGUAGAAUAAGUAAAACGAUAACCACAUUUUGGCACC
rnacentral:lncRNA from 1 species